AGUGAACGCUGGCGGCGUGCCUAAUACAUGCAAGUCGAACGAAGUGGCGCACGGGUGAGUAAUAUAUAGUUAAUCUGCCCUACACAGAGGAACAACAGUUGGAAACGACUGCUAAUACCUCAUAGUGUAGGAUGAGACUAUAUCGUAUCAGCUAGUUGGUAAGGUAAUGGCUUACCAAGGCGAUGACGCGUAUCUGGUCUGAGAGGAUGAUCAGUCACAUUGGAACUGAGACACGGUCCAGACUCCUACGGGAUGCAGCAAUAACGGAUAGUGCAAAAUGGGGGGAACCCUGACGCAGCUACGCCGCGUGGAGUAUGAUACUUUUCGGAGCGUAAACUCCUUGUAUCAGGAAAGCGGUACCUAAUGAAUAAGCACCGGCUAACUCCGUGCCAGCAGCCGCGGUAAUAC
rnacentral:rRNA from 1 species